rnacentral:rRNA from 1 species
UGGGCAGUUUGACUGGGGCGGUCGCCUCCCAAAAGGUAACGGAGGCGCUCAAAGGUUCUCUCAGUACGGUCGGAAAUCGUACGUAGAGUGUAAAGGCAAAAGAGAGCUUGAUUGCAAGACAUACAGGUCGAGCAAGGAUGAAAAUCGGACUUAGUGAUCCGGUGGUUCUGCGUGGAAGGGCCAUCGCUCAACGGAUAAAAGCUACCCUGGGGAUAACAGGCUUAUCUCCCCCAAGAGUCCACAUCGACGGGGAGGUUUGGCACCUCGAUGUCGGCUCAUCACAUCCUGGGGCUGUAGUAGGUCCCAAGGGUUGGGCUGUUCGCCCAUUAAAGUGGUACGCGAGCUGGGUUCAGAACGUCGUGAGACAGUUCGGUCCCUAUCCGUCGCAGGCGUAGGAAAUUUG